UGGUGACCUGUCCAGGGUGAACCCCGCCUCUCACCUGAGAGAUGGGCACCACCAGCCCCCCUCACCACCCUGCAAGGAUCAACGUGUUCAGAUCAUGGAUGGAAAGAUUUUAAGGCAAAGAAGUCACCCAGAAAUGUUUUUUCACCCCAGGCAUCCGGUCCCAAUCAUCAUCAGUUCUGAUGAAGCCACAUGCAUAGCGAGUCCACAACGUCUUAAAAUUAUAAGUCAUACUUUUUUCUUUGCCGUUUUUCUGUACUCUUUAAAACACAAGUACUUUCUCUGUUUAAUUGCUCUAUUGUUCUUUUUUGUAGGUUUCUGUAAAGUGCAGUGGUGCAGUUAAUGGGAAUGUUCUGUCAUUGAUCCUCACUGUUCUUAGGAAGGAGAAAUGUCUGUUUGUCUGGAGUAAAACUGGAAUACUGUGACAUUGUAUUAAAACAAUACUCUGUCCUUGGUGAAACA